rnacentral:rRNA from 1 species
GACGAACGCUGGCGGCGUGCUUAACACAUGCAAGUCGAGCGGUAAGGCCCUUUCGGGGGUACGACGAGCGGCGAACGGGUGAGUAACACGUGGGUGACCUGCCCUCAGCUCUGGGAUAAGCCUGGGAAACUGGGUCUAAUACCGGAUAUGACUCCAUGACGCAUGUUGUGGGGUGGAAAGCCUUGUGCGGCUGAGGAUGGGCCCGCGGCCUAUCAGCUUGUUGGUGGGGUGAUGGCCUACCAAGGCGACGACGGGUAGCCGGCCUGAGAGGGCGACCGGCCACACUGGGACUGAGACACGGCCCAGACUCCUACGGGAGGCAGCAGUGGGAAUCUUGCGCAAUGGGCGAAAGCCUGACGCAGCGACGCCGCGUGAGGGAUGACGGCCUGGUGUAACUC